CAGCCGCCGCGGUAAUACAGAGGGUGCGAGCGUUAAUCGGAUUUACUGGGCGUAAAGCGUGCGUAGGCGGCUUUUUAAGUCGGAUGUGAAAUCCCUGAGCUUAACUUGGGAAUUGCAUUCGAUACUGGUUAGCUAGAGUGUGGGAGAGGAUGGUAGAAUUCCAGGUGUAGCGGUGAAAUGCGUAGAGAUCUGGAGGAAUACCGAUGGCGAAGGCAGCCAUCUGGCCUAACACUGACGCUGAGGUACGAAAGCAUGGGGAGCAAACAGGAUUAGAUACCCCAGUAGUCCCUGUCUCUUAUAC
rnacentral:rRNA from 1 species